GAAAAUACAAUCAUGCAUCACUUAACGACAGAGAUAUGUUCUGAGAAAUGCAUCAUUAGGUGAUUUCAUCAUUUGAUGAAUACCACAGA